rnacentral:rRNA from 1 species
UACGUAGGGUGCAAGCGUUAAUCGGAAUUACUGGGCGUAAAGCGUGCGCAGGCGGUUUUGUAAGUCUGAUGUGAAAUCCCCGGGCUCAACCUGGGAAUUGCAUUGGAGACUGCAAGGCUAGAAUCUGGCAGAGGGGGGUAGAAUUCCACGUGUAGCAGUGAAAUGCGUAGAGAUGUGGAGGAACACCGAUGGCGUAGGCAGCCCCCUGGGUCAAGAUUGACGCUCAUGCACGAAAGCGUGGGGAGCAAACAGG